UACAGAGGGUGCGAGCGUUGUUCAGAAUUAUUGGGCGUAAAGGGCGCGUAGGCGGUGCGGUAAGUCACCUGUGAAAUCUCCUGGCUCAACUGGGAGCUUGCAGGCGAAACUGCCGUGCUGGAGUGUGGGAGAGGUGCGUGGAAUUCCUGGUGUAGCGGUGAAAUGCGUAGAUAUCAGGAGGAACACCUGUGGCGAAAGCGGCGCACUGGACCACAACUGACGCUGAGGCGCGAAAGCUAGGGGAGCAAACAGG
rnacentral:rRNA from 1 species